UUAUACCCGCGUGUGGAACUAAGCAUAUCAAUAAGCGGAGGAAAAGAAACUAACAAGGAUUCCCCUAGUAACUGCGAGUGAAGCGGGAAAAGCUCAAAUUUAAAAUCUGGCGGUCUUUGGCUGUCCGAGUUGUAAUCUAGAGAAGUGUUACCCGCGCUGGACCGUGUACAAGUCUCCUGGAAUGGAGCGUCAUAGAGGGUGAGAAUCCCGUCUCUGACACGGACUACCAGGGCUUUGUGGUAUGCUCUCAAAGAGUCGAGUUGUUUGGGAAUGCAGCUCAAAAUGGGUGGUAAAUUCCAUCUAAAGCUAAAUAUUGGCGAGAGACCGAUAGCGAACAAGUACCGUGAGGGAAAGAUGAAAAGAACUUUGGAAAGAGAGUUAAACAGUACGUGAAAUUGCUGAAAGGGAAACGCUUGAAGUCAGUCGCAUUGACCAGGGAUCAGCCUUGCAUUUGCAUGGUGUAUUUUCUGGUUGAUGGGUCAGCAUCAAUUUUGACUGCUGGAAAAAGGCUUGGGGAAUGUGACAGCUCUGGCUGUGUUAUAGACCCUUGUCAUAUACAGCAGUUGGGAUUGAGGAACUCAGCACGCCGCAAGGCCGGGUUUCGACCACGUUCGUGCUUAGGAUGCUGGCAUAAUGGCUUUAAGCGACCCGUCUUGAAACACGGACCAAGGAGUCUAACAUGCCUGCGAGUGUUUGGGUGGAAAACCCAAGCGCGUAAUGAAAGUAAAAGUUGAGAUCCCUGUCGUGGGGAGCAUCGACGCCCGGACCAGAACUUUUGGGACGGAUCUGCGGUAGAGCAUGUAUGUUGGGACCCGAAAGAUGGUGAACUAUGCCUGAAUAGGGUGAAGCCAGAGGAAACUCUGGUGGAGGCUCGUAGCGAUUCUGACGUGCAAAUCGAUCGUCAAAUUUGGGUAUAGGGGCGAAAGACUAAUCGAACCAUCUAGUGUCCUC
rnacentral:rRNA from 1 species